UUGAAGAGUUUGAUCAUGGCUCAGAUUGAACGCUGGCGGCAGGCCUAACACAUGCAAGUCGAACGGUAGCACAGAGAGCUUGCUCUCGGGUGACGAGUGGCGGACGGGUGAGUAAUGUCUGGGAAACUGCCUGAUGGAGGGGGAUAACUACUGGAAACGGUAGCUAAUACCGCAUAACGUCGCAAGACCAAAGAGGGGGACCUUCGGGCCUCUUGCCAUCAGAUGUGCCCAGAUGGGAUUAGCUAGUAGGUGGGGUAAUGGCUCACCUAGGCGACGAUCCCUAGCUGGUCUGAGAGGAUGACCAGCCACACUGGAACUGAGACACGGUCCAGACUCCUACGGGAGGCAGCAGUGGGGAAUAUUGCACAAUGGGCGCAAGCCUGAUGCAGCCAUGCCGCGUGUAUGAAGAAGGCCUUCGGGUUGUAAAGUACUUUCAGCGGGGAGGAAGGUGUUGUGGUUAAUAACCACAGCAAUUGACGUUACCCGCAGAAGAAGCACCGGCUAACUCCGUGCCAGCAGCCGCGGUAAUACGGAGGGUGCAAGCGUUAAUCGGAAUUACUGGGCGUAAAGCGCACGCAGGCGGUCUGUCAAGUCGGAUGUGAAAUCCCCGGGCUCAACCUGGGAACUGCAUUCGAAACUGGCAGGCUAGAGUCUUGUAGAGGGGGGUAGAAUUCCAGGUGUAGCGGUGAAAUGCGUAGAGAUCUGGAGGAAUACCGGUGGCGAAGGCGGCCCCCUGGACAAAGACUGACGCUCAGGUGCGAAAGCGUGGGGAGCAAACAGGAUUAGAUACCCUGGUAGUCCACGCCGUAAACGAUGUCGACUUGGAGGUUGUGCCCUUGAGGCGUGGCUUCCGGAGCUAACGCGUUAAGUCGACCGCCUGGGGAGUACGGCCGCAAGGUUAAAACUCAAAUGAAUUGACGGGGGCCCGCACAAGCGGUGGAGCAUGUGGUUUAAUUCGAUGCAACGCGAAGAACCUUACCUACUCUUGACAUCCAGAGAACUUUCCAGAGAUGGAUUGGUGCCUUCGGGAACUCUGAGACAGGUGCUGCAUGGCUGUCGUCAGCUCGUGUUGUGAAAUGUUGGGUUAAGUCCCGCAACGAGCGCAACCCUUAUCCUUUGUUGCCAGCGGUCCGGCCGGGAACUCAAAGGAGACUGCCAGUGAUAAACUGGAGGAAGGUGGGGAUGACGUCAAGUCAUCAUGGCCCUUACGAGUAGGGCUACACACGUGCUACAAUGGCGCAUACAAAGAGAAGCGACCUCGCGAGAGCAAGCGGACCUCAUAAAGUGCGUCGUAGUCCGGAUUGGAGUCUGCAACUCGACUCCAUGAAGUCGGAAUCGCUAGUAAUCGUAGAUCAGAAUGCUACGGUGAAUACGUUCCCGGGCCUUGUACACACCGCCCGUCACACCAUGGGAGUGGGUUGCAAAAGAAGUAGGUAGCUUAACCUUCGGGAGGGCGCUUACCACUUUGUGAUUCAUGACUGGGGUGAAGUCGUAACAAGGUAACCGUAGGGGAACCUGCGGUUGGAUCACCUCCUU
rnacentral:rRNA from 1 species